rnacentral:rRNA from 1 species
AGGGAAUCUUCCACAAUGGACGCAAGUCUGAUGGAGCAACGCCGCGUGAGUGAAGAAGGUUUUCGGACCGUAAAGCUCUGUUGUUGGUGAAGAAGGAUAGAGGUAGUAACUGGCCUUUAUUUGACGGUAAUCAACCAGAAAGUCACGGCUAACUACGUGCCAGCAGCCGCGGUAAUCGUAGGUGGCAAGCGUUGUCCGGAUUUAUUGGGCGUAAAGCGAGCGCAGGCGGAAGAAUAAGUCUGAUGUGAAAGCCCUCGGCUUAACCGAGGAAUUGCAUCGGAAACUGUUUUCUUGAGUGCAGAAGAGGAGAGUAGAACUCCAUGUGUAGCGGUGGAAUGCGUAGAUAUAUGGAGGAAUACCAGUGGCGAAGGCGGCUCUCUGGUCUGCAACUGACGCUGAGGCUCGAAAGCAUGGGUAGCGAACAGGAUUAGAUACCCUGGUAGUCCAUGCCGUAAACGAUGAGUGCUAAGUGUUGGGAGGCUUCCGCCUCUCAGUGCUGCAGCUAACGCAUUAAGCACUCCGCCUGGGGGAGUACGACCGCAAGGUUGAAAC